rnacentral:rRNA from 1 species
AUUGAACGCUGGCGGCAGGCCUAACACAUGCAAGUCGAACGGUAACAGGAAACAGCUUGCUGUUUCGCUGACGAGUGGCGGACGGGUGAGUAAUGUCUGGGAAACUGCCUGAUGGAGGGGGAUAACUACUGGAAACGGUAGCUAAUACCGCAUAACGUCGCAAGACCAAAGAGGGGGACCUUCGGGCCUCUUGCCAUCAGAUGUGCCCAGAUGGGAUUAGCUAGUAGGUGGGGUAACGGCUCACCUAGGCGACGAUCCCUAGCUGGUCUGAGAGGAUGACCAGCCACACUGGAGCUGAGACACGGUCCAGACUCCUACGGGAGGCAGCAGUGGGGAAUAUUGCACAAUGGGCGCAAGCCUGAUGCAGCCAUGCCGCGUGUAUGAAGAAGGCCUUCGGGUUGUAAAGUACUUUCAGCGGGGAUGAAGGGAGUAAAGUUAAUACCUUGGCUCAUUGACGUUACCCGCAGAAGAAGCACCGGCUAACUCCGUG